CAUACCUAUUCGAAGGGAUAGGGUCGGCUCGGCCGGAUUUUACACAAGUGUUGCAUGGCUGUCGUCAGCUCGCGUCGUGAGAUGUUGGGUUAAGUCCCGCAACGAGCGCAACCCUCAUCCUUAGUUACCAUCAGGUUAUGCUGGGGACUUUAAGGAAACUGCCAGUGAUAAACUGGAGGAAGGUGGGGAUGAUGUCAAGUCAUCAUGGCCCUUAUGGAGUGGGCUACACACGUGCUAUAAUGGUGAUUACAAUGGGUUGCAAGGUCGCAAGGCUGAGCUAAUCCUAAAAAAUCAUCUCAGUUCGGAUUGUUCUCUGCAACUCGAGAGCAUGAAGUUGGAAUCGCUAGUAAUCGUGGAUCAGCAUGCCACGGUGAAUACGUUCUCGGGUCUUGUACACACUGCCCGUCACGCCAUGGGAAUUGGUUUCACUAGAAGCU
rnacentral:rRNA from 1 species